rnacentral:rRNA from 1 species
AAGUGACGGCGAGGCUUCGGACUUGGGAGAGAAGAGGCCGCCGCGCGCCGUGGGAGGGCCGCCCGCUCAGCGGCCUCGGGCGAGGGGGAGGAGGAGGGGGCCGCGGCAGACCUACCUCGGGUCCAUCCGCGACAAGGGAGCUGGAAUAGCGGGGGGACUGAACGGGCCGAGAGUGCCGCGAGACAGCCCGUCGAGGGGUCCGACAAAUCUGGCCGCCGGACGCCGCCGCCGCCCCGCUCCGGCCCGCGGCCUAGGUCGUACGUCUCCCGCCCCGAGGAGUGCGGCAAGGGGGACUCCCGCGCCCGGUGCCGGUCCUGGACGUACCAGAGGUCGAAGCGGUGCCUCAACGAGCUCUAUUCUAGGUCCCUCGGAAGCGGCAGCGAGGUGCAAGACCAGCAGGGACCGUUAGGUCCAUAACAACCUAAGAUGUCCCUGAAGCAGCUUCGGGACAUACUUUUGGAGCCGCCCGUCCGUAGACAAUGCCGCUAUCCCGUGUAAAGUGUACCCGUCUUCCUAAUGCUCGUGCCUGCUAACAAAAGUAAUGUGCUUGUCUAACUCGUGUUCUAACUAAAAGAACUCGUUCUCGAAGAUGUAUGGCUUGUCAGGUAUUAACACCACCCAGUAAGAUAACCGCGCAUGUAUCCAGACCUUUAUACGUUUUCUAAAGUCUUCUUCCAUUAAAAAAAACACCCCGAAAUAGGUAAAAACUGUAACUUGUUCUUACGAUACUUCGUUAGUCGUUAAUCUAUACAACGUUCCAGUAGAGAGGAAUCAUUUCCCCAAUCAAACAAUCACAGAAAGUAGCCGAGUGAGGUCCGAAGUCAAUGCUCCUCGUAACACUUUUCCAAGGAACCUAGAAGAACCAGAUGUCGUCGGUAACUACGACCUACAUCGGUAGAGAACGUCAUGGUAUGCUACGUGUUACACGAAAAGUACCGUUUCUGUCUCAAGCUUUUCGAAGUGCUUCUCGGCCUGACCUUAAAGUAGUCUCGUUUUGUCCUGGUUUAACGAAAAGACAAGCCACACCUACUAGUGACCCCAGGUGAUUGAGUGAACCUUCUCUAGAGUUCCGUACGAGGUCCCCAACGGAACAGCCAGCUCUUUCUUCCAGUAUGUGUGCCGAUGACGACGUGCCUCCGACCUAGGAAGACCCAACGACUGAUGCAGCGUUUGAACUAAUUUUUGGUUUACGAGCAGCCUCUAUCGACUACCGUCUGUUAAUAGAAGAAAACUACUUCAUUAUAUCUUCACACUACGACCUAAGGUUUAUGAUCACGGAUAAAACGUAUACGAUUAGGUCCUACUGUCUAGAGUUUUCAGUGUACGACUUAUGACGAUAGAUUGAACCGGAAGUACGUUAUACAAAAGCAGGAGGAAAGCGACUACUUGGACUGUUCGUUGUUGACGCAGUAAUAAGAAUGACGUAUUUAGCAUACACACAACUAACUGAUCAAAAGCCUCUACGAAGAUAUAACUAACUGAGUAAAACAUCUUUAUCACGUCACAUGCAUUUCUUGUUAAGAACCCUACUAUUCUUAGUGUAGAAAUCUUAGUAUC